CCAGCAGCCGCGGUAAUACGUAGGGGGCCAGCGUUGUUCGGAAUUACUGGGUGUAAAGGGUUCGUAGGCGGUGUGGCAAGUCGGGAGUGAAAUCUCUGGGCUCAACUCAGAGGCUGCUUCCGAAACUGCUGUGCUUGAGUGUGGGAGAGGCGCGUGGAAUUGCAGGUGUAGCGGUGAAAUGCGUAGAUAUCAGGAGGAACACCGGUGGCGAAGGCGGCUACCUGGACAGAGUCUGACGCUGAGGCGCGAAAGCGUGGGGAGCAAACAGGAUUAGAUACCCUGGUA
rnacentral:rRNA from 1 species